CUCAGAUUAAAGUGAGAAAGAGUUAGGAAUACUCAAAUAAUUGUUUUAUGUCUUCUCUGCCUUGAUCUGAACUUAAAAUUUUGUGGAGGGAGAGACUAUUGACCCUCUUUCUCCAUUUAUUGUUUCUAUACAGGGACAAUGACGAAAGACAUGUUUAUACAAUAAGAUUAAUUACAUUUCAGUAACUUUGAUCCAAUUCAGAAUGAUGCUGCCCUCAAGUAAAAAAAACUUUUUCUUUUUCUUUUCUUUUCUUUUUUUUUUUUUGGAGUCUCACUCUGUUGCCCAGGCUGGAGUGCAAUGGUACGAUCUCAGCUCACUGCAACUUCCGUCUCCCAGAUUCAAGCAAUUCUCGUGCCUCAGGCUUCUGAGUAGCUGGGAUUACAGGCACACACCACCAGGCCCAGCUAAUUUUUCUAUUUUUAGUAGAGACGGGGUUUCACCAUGUUGGCCAGGCUGGUCUUGAACUCCUGACCUUGUGAUCCGCCUGCCUCGGCUUCCCAAGUAAAAAACUUUUUUUUCCACUUACUAUUUUGGGGAUAUUUAAGUGAAUCUGAAAUUACUAUUGGAUUUUUUUUUUCUCUUGAAACAGAGUUUUGCUCUUGUUGCCCAGGCUGGAGUGCAAUGGUGCAAUCUCGGCUCGCAGCAACCUCCACCUCCCAGGUUCAAGUGAUUCUCCUACCUCAGCCUCCCAAGUAGCUGGGAUUACAGGCACCCGCCACCACGCCCAGCUAAUUUUUGUAUUUUUACGGAGACAGGGUUUCACCAUGUUGGCCAUGCUGUUUUCACCAUGUUGGCCGGGCUGUUUUCGAACUCCUGACCUCAGAUGAUCCAUCUGCCUCCCAAAAUGCUGGGAUUACAGACGUGAGCCACCUCACCCGGCCCUACUAUUGGAUUUUUAAAGACAGAUAUUUAAGAACAUUCUUUGCUAGAACUGAGGACAAUUUAAACUUAUUCCAUUCAAGAAAACUUAGUGCAGAAUGCAGACUUUCCCUUUCAAGUAUAUGUAAAAGUUAACUUCUUUUUUUUUCCACCUCUGGAAGACAAUGUACAAUGUAGUACUCUUCAGAUACACUAAUGAGACCCUUUUUAUACUUUAACAGGGACGUAAACAUUUCCUUUUGUAACAAAAAUAAAUUAUGGGUUUCAUUUUAAAAAGCCUAUCCCCAAGAAAUGUUUUGAGUGUUAAUCUAAGUAAGAUUUCAUUAUUCUCAUAAGUAAAACUUUGAGUUCAAAUAAAGUUUUGAUUUUUUUUUUGAUAAUUGAAGGUAUAUGUAGGGGCUCAACCUAAAUGCCAGGGAAUUAACCCUCCAUAGGAAGUAAUCAUAUAAUUCUAAGUCAGUAUAUAAUUGAAUUGAUGUAGGAUUUUUAAGUAUUCUCUCAACUAUAUUAAAUGAAUUGUUUUUCCAGUUUUCUAGUGGUCCAAAAACUUAAAUAGGCUGCAAAUCUGCUGUGAUUCAAACCGUGCAAUUCCUCACAGGCAUCUCUGACUUGAGGGACUAAGUUCCUGUAAUUAUGUGUCCUGAAAUUAACUGGGUUGCCAGAUAGGUUUUCUCAACCUUUAAUAGCUUGUUGGAAGGCUUACAGAAUGCUCUUUAUUAGAAAUAUUUGGAACUACUUCCCCCCUUUUGGAUACUCAAAUUAGUGUUUUUCUAGUUCUCUGGCAUAAUUUGUAUAGCUGCUUCCUUUGUAGAAAGUAAGCUUAUGUUCUGCUUUUCCCUUUCUGGUUGGCUGGAGUGCUAGGUCACUCUUAUCUGUGCUCUAGGAAACUUUUAGAUUUCUACUUAGCUUAGGAUGACACCCUGAAAGAUUUAGGGUCUGCUUCUGUUUGGGUUAGGGGGUAGACACUUGAAUUCAUUGGUCUUUUUUUUGGCUCACUGCAGCCUUGACCUCCAGCACUCAAGGGAUCCUCCCACUUCAGCCUCUAGAGUAGCUGCAACUAUAGGUGCCUGCCACUAUGCUCACUAAUUUUGUGUAUUUAUUGUAGAGACAAGGUCUUACUGUAUUCCUAGGCUGGUCUCGGACUCCUGGACUCAAGGGAUCUUCCUUCUUCAGCCUCCCAAAGUGCUAGGGUAACAGGCAUGAGCCACCAUGCCCGGCCAAAUAGAUUGGUUUUUAUCAAAGAUGCUGUAAUAUUAAUAUGCAUCUUCCUGCUAUCCCUUCAAAAGUGAGAAUUAAUGUUGUUUUCUUUUCUUUUCUUUUUUUGAGAUGGAGUCUCUCUCUGUCACCCAGGCUGGAGUGCAGUGGCGCAAUCUUAGCCCACCGCAACCUCUGCCUCCCGGGUUCAAGCAAUUCUCCUGCCUCAGCCUUCCGAGUAGCUGGGAUUACAGGGUCUUGCUCUGUCACCUAGGCUGGAGUGCAGUGGUGUGAUCACAGCUCACUGGAGCCUCGACCUCCUGGGAUCAAGCGAUUCUCUCACCUCAACCUUUGAAGUAACUGGGACUAGUCAUUAUCAUGCUUUGUUGAUUUUUAGGUUUUUUUUUUUUUUUUUUUUGUAGAGAGGGAGUUUCCCUGUGUUGCCCAGUUUGGUCUCAAACUCCUGGGCUCAAGUGAUCCUUCCACCUUGGCCUCCCAAGGUACUGGGAUUACAGGCAUGAAUGAGCCAUCUUGCUUGGCCUAGUUCUUUUUUUUUUUUUUUUUUUUUUUUUUUGAGAGGGAGUCUCACUCUGUCACCCAGGCUGGAGUGCCGUGGCACGAUCUCAGCUCACUGCAGCCUACUUCUCCCAGGUUCAAGCAAUUCUCCUGCUUCAGCCUCCCGAGUAGCUGGGAUUACAGGCAUGUACCACCACACCCAUCUAAUUUUUGUAUUUUUAGUAGAGAUGGGGUUUUCACCAUGUUGGCUAGGCUGGUCUCAAACUCCUGACCUUAAAUGAUCCACCUGCCUUGGCCUCCCAAAGUGCUGGGAUUACAGGCGUGAGCCACUGCGCCCGGACUUUUUUUUUUUUUUUAAACCACUUUCUUUUACAUAUCCCUGGCUCCUAAUUGCUUUUCUACUUUUUCUUACUGCUCCAGCUUCUAGAUAAGUGGUUCUCAAAGUGUGGUCCUUCAACCAACAGCAUCAUCACCACCCAGGAACUUAUUAGAAAUGGAAGUUCUUGCACCCUGCCAAAACCAGAAACUGCGGAUGGGUCCCAGCAAUCUUUAUUUUAACGACUGUUAAAAUCAGAAUCAAGUGAUUCUGAUGCAAACUUAAGUUUGAAAACAUUGUUCUAUUAAAAGUAAUGGCAAAAACCGCAAUUACUUUUGCACCAACCUAAGAGCUCUGCACUGUUCAAUAUGGUAGCUUCUAACUAUUGAAUUUUUUAAUGCUAUUAUCUCCUUUAUUCAAAAAUAAAUAUUUCACUUUGAUUCAACAUAUUUCAAAUUACAUUAAGCACAGAGAGGAAAUACAUUCCCUUUGGAGAUUGUGAACACGUGUUGGAAAGAGGCAUGAUCCAAAUAAUGGGGAUGAGGUGAGUGUGGAUUCCAGCUGCUUCCUGACCCAGAAGUUCUGCCCCUCUUCAGGUGGAGCUACUUAUCGAUUUUUAGGCGAGAAAAAGACAGACACACACACACACACACACACACACACUGCUUUGAAGUCUGAAAGGCAUAUGAGUGGACCGUAAGGUAUAUGGCACGUUCACUGAUAAAACAUCCCCUACUCCCUCCCAAGAAAAGCAGAGACACUUUAAUCAAGUCAAAGGCCAGAGAAGGGCCUGGUGCAGUGGCUCACGCCUGUAUCCCAGCACUUUGGGAGGCCAAGGCGGGUGAAUCCCGAGGUCAGGAGUUCGAGACCAGCCUGACUCAUAUGGUGAAACCCUGUCUCUACUAAAAAUACGAAAAUUAGCUGGGCGUGGUGGCAUGUGCCUGUAAUCCCAGCUACUCGUGAGGUUGAGGCAGGAGAAUCGCUUGAACCCAGGAGGCAGAGGUUGCAGUGAGCUGAGACUGCACCAUUGCGUUCCAGUCUGGGUGACUGAGCGAGACUCUGUCUCAAAAAAGAAAAAAAAAAAAGCAGCGAAGACAGGGUGCUCCUGCUUAUAGCUCAGCAGCAUGAACAUCUCUGAAUAUGAAAGCCAUUUUUCAUUUGCUUCUACCUCCUGUGCCUCCUUUCCCUGCCGACUGGGUCCGUGGAUGGCC
rnacentral:lncRNA from 10 species